rnacentral:rRNA from 1 species
UGCAGUCGAACGGAUCCUUCGGGAUUAGUGGCGGACGGGUGAGUAACACGUGGGAACGUGCCUUUUGGUUCGGAACAACUCAGGGAAACUUGAGCUAAUACCGAAUGUGCCCUUCGGGGGAAAGAUUUAUCGCCAUUAGAGCGGCCCGCGUCUGAUUAGCUUGUUGGUGAGGUAAAGGCUCACCAAGGCUACGAUCAGUAGCUGGUCUGAGAGGAUGAUCAGCCACAUUGGGACUGAGACACGGCCCAAACUCCUACGGGAGGCAGCAGUGGGGAAUCUUGCGCAAUGGGCGAAAGCCUGACGCAGCCAUGCCGCGUGAAUGAUGAAGGUCUUAGGAUUGUAAAAUUCUUUCACCGGGGACGAUAAUGACGGUACCCGGAGAAGAAGCCCCGGCUAACUUCGUGCCAGCAGCCGCGGUAAUACGAAGGGGGCUAGCGUUGCUCGGAAUUACUGGGCGUAAAGGGAGCGUAGGCGGAUAGUUUAGUCAGAGGUGAAAGCCCAGGGCUCAACCUUGGAAUUGCCUUUGAUACUGGCUAUCUUGAGUAUGGGAGAGGUUAGCGGAACUCCGAGUGUAGAGGUGAAAUUCGUA